CUUGAUGAACACCUUGCAGGGAGAUGGAGCCAAGCUGUUAUCUUUUCUCUUGCACGCUGGUUCAGAUUAAUAUUUCAUAUGUAUGGCUGCCCAUCAAUACCCUGUGACCUUGAAUUGCAGAUGAGUUGUUAGGGAGGGCCUACGCAAGUUCUCAUUACUCCAGUUCACCUACUCCAUACUCACUCAUAAUUACGCAAUUUUGUGUGCAGGUUGUACACCUGAAGCUGUCCAUUCCAAUCACACAGAGAGAAUUAAAGAAUCAAGGGGCAUGGUUCAUAAUUCAUCAUGACUCCUGUAAUGAGAGAGAGAGAGAGAGAGAGAGAGCACAUACAUCACUAAAAUUCCACCUGUCUCCGUAGUCUUCCUCCAUACCCUCACACACCGGGUUCUACAUAGAUUUAAUCUGAAUCUGAAUUGGGUGACUUGGACACUUUCUAGGAGUUUAACUUCCCAUCCUCAUGCCCACUGGCAUGAAGCAUGCCUUCCUUCCUCAUGCCCAGUGUUCCUACUAUGGCGCUCCUGGAACAAUCUUGGCAGCUGCCACACAGAGAACACAGCAGAUCCAGGACUCACACCAAACCGGGCCCUCCAACUCCUACAGCUCUGGACCCUGACUGGGAUAAAGCGUUUACUGAGAAUGAAUGAAUGGAUGAAUUCAUUAAUUGCACUGAACCAAGAUUUAAGACUGAAAAUAAAACUGACUUACAUUUUAACAUGAUGUUAACGUCUAACGUUUGCAAUAUGUAAAAAAUGCGUUGUGUGAAGUAUGUACUGAAUGUGUAGAUUAAAGUAUCACAAUAUGCAACAUACUGAACAGUACAUACAGGAUAUCACAUGUGCAGACCUCAGCAUAAUUAGAGUGUAAGAGUAUUUGCACUGGACUUACAGGUGCCAUGCAUGUGUAGUGCUGUAUUUCAGCAGGUGCAGUGUUAGUGCUAGAAGCAUUGUGCAGAGUGUUAUUGCACAGUGUUACAGCUUGGGGUAGAUGCCUGUCUCUGUCUCACCCCUGAAUAAAGGAAAAUGUAGUUAGCAGGAUGUGAAGGAUUUACAAGCUUGACAAUAUUUGCCUUGCAGGCCCAUAAGGAAAGGGCAGGUCACAGUCAGUGAUCCUAUCCACUGACCAGAUUAUUCACAGUUCUUUUACCUUCUCUGACAAUGCACUGCACCGCACACACUCAGUUUUAAAAGGAAAUUAGAGGAAGUGAUUUCACCCAAUCACAUGUCUUGAUAAUGUAUUUAUUCAAACUCCUUUCUUUUUUAUACAAUGU